rnacentral:lncRNA from 1 species
GAUGGCAUCUGAGCUAAGGGUUAUGAGAAGAGAGUGGAACUCCAGUUAUAACCCACUGCCUUGCAGGAGAAGAGAACUUGUUCACAUGUAAUCCUCUGUACAGAGACCACACGCUCACACUGUCAUGCACCCAGUUAUACUUCAAUACAUACAUCUGUUCUUUAUGCCUUGCCCCAGCUGGAUGGGAGAAGAUGCAGGCGAGGAAAUGGGAUAGAGGUGAAGUCAGUAAGAAGGAACAGUUGCUUACAGUGCUUCGUCUCUCUUGGAUUUGUUUCCUGUUUUUUGCCAAUGGAAAUCAAAGAAAAUGGAGGAGGCUUCCCUGCAGUGAUCUUCAGAACUCCUUGUCUUCACCUGGAUAUCGGUCUGGGACUGGCCACACAGGCAUGACUACAGGAUUCCUUCCACAUCAUUUAAUGAAGAGAGAGAGAGGCAUGUCCAGAAGCGAUUCACUCCAGGGGAUGAGGUGACGUCAAGCAAUUCUGGAAAGCCACAUGGUAAGUUGGAAGAUAAAAGUUCCAGUGAUGCGCAUGGCCGCUCUGAUUACUCGGGUUGUACCAGAUGUUUGACAAUGGACGUAAUAUGUGCUGUUUGUGUGUACGUUAUUAACAACCCUUGAGCCCUGGAAAAGAGCUCAACACAGGCAGAAUUCUGGGGCUUGUGAUCCAAAUCGUCGAAAUUUCACAGUGGUCUGGCUGGUUCAAUGUAGCAGCGAUAUCGUGGCGUCACUUGCGGAGCACGAGUGAGGUAGGUGGGCAGUCAUAACUUUUUGGCCUCCUACCAUAAAAAUACGUCGCUGAAGAAAAUGGUCUCUGUUUUUGUACAGGAAAAUAAAUAUCCAUACAAUAAUAUAAUAAUUACA